rnacentral:rRNA from 1 species
GACAGAGGGUGCAAACGUUGUUCGGAAUUACUGGGCGUAAAGCGUGUGUAGGCGGCUUCGCAAGUCGGAUGUGAAAGCCCCGGGCUCAACCCGGGAAGUGCACUCGAUACUGCGGAGCUAGAGUGUCGGAGAGGUUGGUGGAAUUCUCGGUGUAGAGGUGAAAUUCGUAGAUAUCGAGAGGAACACCGGUGGCGAAAGCGGCUCACUGGACCGUUACUGACGCUGAGGUGCGAAAGCUAGGGGAGCAAACGGG